UACGUAGGGUGCAAGCGUUAAUCGGAAUUACUGGGCGUAAAGCGUGCGCAGGCGGCUUUGCAAGACAGAUGUGAAAUCCCCGGGCUCAACCUGGGAACUGCAUUUGUGACUGCAUGGCUAGAGUACGGUAGAGGGGGAUGGAAUUCCGCGUGUAGCAGUGAAAUGCGUAGAUAUGCGGAGGAACACCGAUGGCGAAGGCAAUCCCCUGGACCUGUGCUGACGCUCAUGCACGAAAGCGUGGGGAGCAAACAGG
rnacentral:rRNA from 1 species